rnacentral:lncRNA from 1 species
CUUUAUAAAAUUUUCUAAUGAGAUAUUUGUUUCACCAAUAAAAAAUUUAAUAAAACUAUAUUUUCUUUAGGAUCUUAUCACAAUAAGGACUAAAUUCUCUCCUUAUGCGAGUGUGGAAAGGAGCUAAGCCUUCCAGGUUUCAUGUGGACAACAGCAAUGAGCUCUUGUUCCCCAACAUCAUCUGCAGCAUGGGUAGCAUCAGUGGUUUCGACAUUGGCUAUUCUUUUGACAUGCAUAACGGUAUCUCCCUGUUGUUUUCGUUUGCAGUUCUCUAAUGACAUAUGGUUUUGAGUUGGCUAUAGUUUGGAUCUAAAAUGUCCCAUAAAGGUUCAGGUGGUAAAACCUUAAUCAGCAUCCUGUAGGU